rnacentral:lncRNA from 1 species
GCCAUAUUGCAGAUUAUCUCUGAGGGAAGUUACAUUAUUUUCCCGUUAAUUCAGAUAUAUUAAUAUGUCCAGAUGUAAUUCCAAAUAUCUUAUGUUAGGCAAAGCUUCUAAAAUCAGUGAAGCUCUAGAGCUACUAAGGACUGGUUAAAUCAGUAAAGUUUUACAAUAUCUGCAUGAGUGGUUAUAACAUAGCACAUGUUAUUUGGUACUUCACUAUGUGGUAUCCUUUUUAAUCUUGAUUAUUGAGUCAACAUAUUGAUUGUGGGCUUAUAUACUGCCAAACUGGCCUUCUUAUUCUGUCAUCCAAUUCAUGCAAAAUUCACGCUCACCAUGACAAAGGCCUAAUUUGUUAGCUGAUGUAGUUUUCUAAUUGUGUGCUCUUCAUUUGUAGUUGCCAAGUCUUAAAAUAUUUGUAGUGACGUAACUUUUUUUCUUCAUAUCAGCAGGAUUUUAGAUAGCAUUUUUUAAUGCUAACUGAAGUAAUAAACAAAUUAGCUUAGAAGUCAGUGUAAAGUGCUUAAGAGGAUUUUUUUUCUCUGCACUAACAAAAUUUGAUGGCAAUUCUUGUGAACUGAUCAAAGGUCAGGUUUCAAAAGGUAUGCAUUUUUUUCAUCAUUCUCAGUAUCAUAAAUCAAUUUUGCACAUACAUAUGAUGAAUAUGAUUGCUCAUUUUCCUUUCAUGGUAAAGAAAUCUAUGUGGCGUUACAUGUCAGAUGAUACAUAUAGGAAUUCAUCCUACAACUGAACCUUUUAUUAUAUGACACAUUAGGAAAAUAUGCUUUUCUACUUUUUUAUAUUUGCUUCCAAGAGGUUUAGUCAAUUGUUAAUCCGUUCCCUGCAUUAAUUUGUAAGGCUCUAAAGCCACGUUUUUUCAAGCUGAAACAAUAAAGGCUAACAUGUCAGAUGAUACAUAUAGGAAUUCAUCCUACAACUGAAAUUUACUGGAUUAUUAUCUCGAUCUUCAGUUCUUCUGAUAUAUUUUUYMACGAUCCAAGUGUUAGGAACAAAGAGUCUA